UACGUAGGGGGCAAGCGUUGUCCGGAUUCAUUGGGCGUAAAGAGCGUGUAGGCGGCCAGGUAGGUCGGUUGUGAAAACUGGAGGCUCAACCCUCAGACGUCGACCGAAACCAUCUGGCUAGAGUCCGGGAGAGGAGAGUGGAAUUCCUGGUGUAGCGGUGAAAUGCGCAGAUAUCAGGAAGAACACCCGUGGCGAAAGCGGCUCUCUGGAACGGUACUGACGCUGAGACGCGAAAGCGUGGGGAGCGAACAGG
rnacentral:rRNA from 1 species